rnacentral:rRNA from 1 species
GAUGAACGCUGGCGGCGUGCCUAAUACAUGCGAGUCGAGCGAACAGAUAAGGAGCUUGCUCCUUUGACGUUAGCGGCGGACGGGUGAGUAACACGUGGGUAACCUACCUAUAAGACUGGGAUAACUUCGGGAAACCGGAGCUAAUACCGGAUAACAUUUGGAACCGCAUGGUUCUAAAGUGAAAGAUGGUUUUGCUAUCACUUAUAGAUGGACCCGCGCCGUAUUAGCUAGUUGGUAAGGUAACGGCUUACCAAGGCGACGAUACGUAGCCGACCUGAGAGGGUGAUCGGCCACACUGGAACUGAGGCACGGUCCAGACUCCUACGGGAGGCAGCAGUAGGGAAUCUUCCGCAAUGGGCGAAAGCCUGACGGAGCAACGCCGCGUGAGUGAUGAAGGGUUUCGGCUCGUAAAACUCUGUUAUUAGGGAAGAACAAAUGUGUAAGUAACUGUGCACGUCUUGACGGUACCUAAUCAGAAAGCCACGGCUAACUACGUG